UGGGGAAUCUUGCACAAUGGGGGCAACCCUGAUGCAGCGACGCCGCGUGAGCGAUGAAGCCCUUCGGGUCGUAAAGCUCUUUCGACCGGAACGAUAAUGACGGUACCGGGAGAAGAAGCUGCGGCUAACUACGUGCCAGCAGCCGCGGUAAUACGUAGGCAGCAAGCGUUGUUCGGAGUUACUGGGCGUAAAGAGUGCGUAGGCGGUUUUCUAAGUUCGGUGUGAAAUCUCCCGGCUUAACUGGGAGGGUGCGCCGAAGACCGGGAAGCUGGAGUGUGGGAAAGGCAGGCGGAAUUCCUGGUGUAGCGGUGAAAUGCGUAGAUAUCAGGAGGAACACCGGCGGUGUAGACGGCUUGCUAGACCAUAACUGACGCUGAGGCACGAAAGCGUGGGUAGCAAACA
rnacentral:rRNA from 1 species